CAGUAGCCGCGGGAAUACAGAGGGUGCGAGCGUUAAUCGGAUUUACUGGGCGUAAAGCGUGCGUAGGCGGCUAAUUGAGUCGGAUGUGAAAUCCCCGAGCUUAACUUGGGAAUUGCAUUCGAUACUGGUUAGCUAGAGUGUGGGAGAGGAUGGUAGAAUUCCAGGUGUAGCGGUGAAAUGCGUAGAGAUCUGGAGGAAUACCGAUGGCGAAGGCAGCCAUCUGGCCUAAUACUGACGCUGAGGUACGAAAGCAUGAGGAGCAAACAGGAUUAGAUACCCCAGUAGUCCCUGUCUCUUAUAC
rnacentral:rRNA from 1 species